UUUGAGAGGAGCUGUCCUUAGUACGAGAGGACCGGGAUGGACACACCGCUGGUGUACCAGUUGUUCCGCCAGGAGCAUCGCUGGGUAGCUAUGUGUGGCAGGGAUAAACGCUGAAAGCAUCUAAGCGUGAAGCCCCCCUCAAGAUGAGAUUUCCCAUUUCUUCGGAAAGUAAGAUCCCUGAAAGAUGAUCAGGUAGAUAGGUUUGGAGUGGAAGUGUAGCGAUACAUGGAGCGGACAAAUACUAAUCGAUCGAGGACUUAACCAAAA
rnacentral:rRNA from 1 species